rnacentral:rRNA from 1 species
AGUGAACGCUGGCGGUAGGCCUAACACAUGCAAGUCGAACGGCAGCACAUUAAGCGCUUGCUCUUACGGGUGGCGAGUGGCGGACGGGAGAGGAAUACACCGGAAUUUACUUUUUCGAGGGGGUUAACGUCGGGAAACUUACGUAAAUACCGCAUACGACCUACGGGUGGAAGCAGGGGAACUUAGGACCUUGCGCGAUAGAAUGAGCCGAUGUCGGUUUAGUUAGUUGGCGGGGUAAUGGUACACCAAGGCGACAAUACGUAGCUGGUCUGAGAGGAUGAACAGCCACACGGGAACUGAGACACGGCCCAGACUCCGACGCGAGGCAGCAGUGGGGAAUAUUGGACGAUGGGCGAAAGCCUGAUCCAGCCAUACCGCGUGAGUGAAGAAGGCCUUCGGGUGGUAAAGCCCUGUUGUUGGGAAAGAAAAGCAGCAGGUUAAUACCCCGCUGUUCUGACGGUACCCAAAGAAUAAGCACCGGCUAACUUCGUG